UACGUAGGGGGCUAGCGUUGUCCGGAAUCAUUGGGCGGAAAGAGCGUGUAGGCGGUCCGGUAAGUCCGCUGUGAAAGUCGGGGGCUCAACCCUCGAAUGCCGGUGGAUACUGUCGGGCUAGAGUGCGGAAGAGGCGAGUGGAAUUCCUGGUGUAGCGGUGAAAUGCGUAGAUAUCUGGAGGAACACCGGUGGCGAAGGCGGCGUCCUGGACCAACACUGACACUGAUGAGCGAAAGCCAGGGGAGCAAACGGG
rnacentral:rRNA from 1 species